GAGGGUACAGCUAAGUGGUAUACUGCAUGCUUAGCAUGCAUGAGGUCCUGAGUUCAAUUCCCAGUACCUCCA
rnacentral:tRNA from 1 species